rnacentral:rRNA from 1 species
UACGUAGGGUGCGAGCGUUGUCCGGAAUUACUGGGCGUAAAGAGCUCGUAGGUGGUUUGUCGCUUUGUCCGUGAAAACUCACAACUCAAUUGUGGGCGUGCGGGCGAUACGGGCAGACUGGAGUACUGCAGGGGAGACUGGAAUUCCUGGUGUAGCGGUGGAAUGCGCAGAUAUCAGGAGGAACACCGGUGGCGAAGGCGGGUCUCUGGGCAGUAACUGACGCUGAGGAGCGAAAGCGUGGGGAGCGAACAGG